rnacentral:rRNA from 1 species
ACGAACGCUGGCGGCGUGCUUAACACAUGCAAGUCGAACGAUGAUGCCAGCUUGCUGGUGGAUUAGUGGCGAACGGGUGAGUAACACGUGAGCAACCUGCCCCUGACUUCGGGAUAACCGCGGGAAACCGUGGCUAAUACCGGAUAUGACGCGCUAUCGCAUGGUGGUGUGUGGAAAGAUUUAUCGGUUGGGGAUGGGCUCGCGGCCUAUCAGCUUGUUGGUGGGGUGAUGGUCUACCAAGGCGACGACGGGUAGCCGGCCUGAGAGGGUGACCGGCCACACUGGGACUGAGACACGGCCCAGACUCCUACGGGAGGCAGCAGUGGGGAAUAUUGCACAAUGGGCGCAAGCCUGAUGCAGCGACGCCGCGUGAGGGAUGACGGCCUUCGGGUUGUAAACCUCUUUCAGUAGGGAAGAAGGCCUUCGGGUUGACGGUACCUGCAGAAGAAGCGCCGGCUAACUACGUG